UCCCUGGUUAUCUAGUGGUUAGGACUUUGUGCUUUCAUAGCUAUGGCCCAGGUUCAAUACCUGGUCUGGGAA
rnacentral:tRNA from 1 species